UAUGUUUUUGUAUAACCCUUUUUAGUUGAUUUUAAAAUCAAAAUCAUCGACUACUCUAAGUCUAAACUACUUAGUAGUGAAUGGUCCAGUAGGGGGUAUUAAUGUGAAACCAAGAAUAUAUGAAUAUGACUUCACUGAGCAAAAUAAUGAAAGUCCUUAUGUCACGCUUCCUUUGCCUGAUACAGCAGAGUGCAAUCGUCUUCUUGCAGCCAAAACAAUCAAUUUGAGGUUGUUAAUGUUCUGUUCUUAGAAAUAGAAUAUCAACUUAGAUGUUACCCCCUGGUCUUAAUGCACUUUUAAUAUUUCUACAAAUUGUUUUGAAAUUGUGAAAAUAAAUUACGUGCACUCCGACUCCUUAGGAAUUUCUUGGGUAAAAAUGUUUUUUUUUUUUCAUUUUAUGUGUUGAUUGAGGAUCUCUGUAGAUACUAAGAGUAGUGUUAUUAAAGUUUUAUUAUUUU